GACGAACGCUGGCGGCGCGCCUAACACAUGCAAGUCGAACGGGAUCUUUUAGGAGUGCUUGCACUCUUGGCUGAUCUAGUGGCGGACGGGUGAGUAACACGUGAGCAACCUGCCCUGGAGUGGGGGAUAACGUCUGGAAACGGACGCUAAUACCGCAUAACGUUGGAGGACGGCAUCGUCUUUCAACCAAAGGAGAAAUCCGCUUUGGGAUGGGCUCGCGCCCGAUUAGAUAGUUGGUGAGGUAAUGGCUCACCAAGUCUGCGAUCGGUAGCCGGACUGAGAGGUUGAACGGCCACAUUGGGACUGAGACACGGCCCAGACUCCUACGGGAGGCAGCAGUGGGGGAUAUUGCACAAUGGGGGAAACCCUGAUGCAGCGACGCCGCGUGAGUGAAGACGGCCUUCGGGUUGUAAAGCUCUGUUGUGGGGGACGAAACAAAUGACGGUACCCCAUCAGAAAGCCACGGCUAACUACGUGCCAGCAGCCGCCGUAAUAC
rnacentral:rRNA from 1 species